CAGAGUUCAUGCCCUUACGGGUAGAUCUCCCACCCUGUGUUAUUAUCACUUUGUUGCUUUGGCGGGCCGUCAGGCUCACGCCCGACCACCGGCCCCGGCUGGUGAGCGCCCGCCAGAGGACCCCCAACUCUGUGUUUAGUGUUGUCUGAGUACUAAGUUAAUACGUUA
rnacentral:misc_RNA from 1 species